rnacentral:hammerhead_ribozyme from 1 species
AUCCAACCGAUGAGUCCCAAAUAGGACAAAAUGCACAUCCUGGAU